rnacentral:rRNA from 1 species
UACGGGGGGGGCAAGCGUUGUUCGGAAUUACUGGGCGUAAAGGGCUCGUAGGCGGCCAACUAAGUCGGACGUGAAAUCCCCAGGCUCAACCUGGGAACUGCGUCCGAUACUGGAUGGCUUGAAUCCGGGAGAGGGAUGCAGAAUUCCAGGUGUAGCGGUGAAAUGCGUAGAUAUCUGGAGGAAUACCGGUGGCGAAGGCGGCAUUCUGGACCGAUAUUGACGCUGAGGAGCGAAAGCCAGGGGAGCAAACGGG